AGAGUUUGAUCAUGGCUCAGAUUGAACGCUGGCGGCAUGCCUUACACAUGCAAGUCGAACGGCAGCAUAGGAGCUUGCUCCUGAUGGCGAGUGGCGAACGGGUGAGUAAUAUAUCGGAACGUGCCCUAGAGUGGGGGAUAACUAGUCGAAAGACUAGCUAAUACCGCAUACGAUCUACGGAUGAAAGUGGGGGAUCGCAAGACCUCAUGCUCCCGGAGCGGCCGAUAUCUGAUUAGCUAGUUGGUGGGGUAAAAGCCUACCAAGGCAACGAUCAGUAGCUGGUCUGAGUGGACGACCAGCCACACUGGGACUGAGACACGGCCCAGACUCCUACGGGAGGCAGCAGUGGGGAAUUUUGGACAAUGGGGGCAACCCUGAUCCAGCAAUGCCGCGUGAGUGAAGAAGGCCUUCGGGUUGUAAAGCUCUUUUGUCAGGGAAGAAACGGUAGUAGCGAAUAACUACUACUAAUGACGGUACCUGAAGAAUAAGCACCGGCUAACUACGUGCCAGCAGCCGCGGUAAU
rnacentral:rRNA from 1 species